rnacentral:rRNA from 1 species
AGAGUUUGAUCCUGGCUCAGAUUGAACGCUGGCGGCAUGCCUUACACAUGCAAGUCGAACGGCAGCACGGGAGCAAUCCUGGUGGCGAGUGGCGAACGGGUGAGUAAUAUAUCGGAACGUGCCCUGUCGUGGGGGAUAACGCAGCGAAAGCUGUGCUAAUACCGCAUACGAUCUCUGGAUGAAAGCGGGGGACUCGCAAGGGCCUCGCGCGAUUGGAGCGGCCGAUAUCAGAUUAGCUAGUUGGUGGGGUAAAAGCCCACCAAGGCGACGAUCUGUAGCUGGUCUGAGAGGACGACCAGCCACACUGGAACUGAGACACGGUCCAGACUCCUACGGGAGGCAGCAGUGGGGAAUUUUGGACAAUGGGCGCAAGCCUGAUCCAGCAAUGCCGCGUGCAGGAUGAAGGCCUUCGGGUUGUAAACUGCUUUUGUACGGAACGAAACGGUCCUUUCUAAUACAAGGGGCUA